rnacentral:rRNA from 1 species
CACAUGCAAGUCUCAGCAGUCCUGUGAAAACGCCCUUUCCCAAUCGGGCUAAGGGGCUGGUAUUAGGCGCAGAAUUCUUGCCCACAACACCUAGUCUUACCACACCUACAAAGGCCUUCAGCAGUGAUAAAAAUUGUUCAUAAGCGUCAGCUUGAAUCAGUUAUGGAAAAGAGAGCCGGCCAAUCCGGUGCCAGCCGCCGCGGCUAGACCGUUGGGCUCAAAUUGAUAGUGACCGGCGUUAAGCGUGAUUAGAGGAAAGACAGAAUUAGAGUUAAAUUUAUACUUAGCUGUGAAAAGCUUGUUACUUAGAAGCCCAAAAACGAAAGUUACUCUAAUACACCCCCUUGAAUACACGACAGUUAGGAAACAAACUGGGAUUAGAUA